rnacentral:rRNA from 1 species
AUUGAACGCUGGCGGCAGGCCUAACACAUGCAAGUCGAGCGGAUGAAGGGAGCUUGCUCCUGGAUUCAGCGGCGGACGGGUGAGUAAUGCCUAGGAAUCUGCCUGGUAGUGGGGGAUAACGUCCGGAAACGGGCGCUAAUACCGCAUACGUCCUGAGGGAGAAAGUGGGGGAUCUUCGGACCUCACGCUAUCAGAUGAGCCUAGGUCGGAUUAGCUAGUUGGUGGGGUAAAGGCCUACCAAGGCGACGAUCCGUAACUGGUCUGAGAGGAUGAUCAGUCACACUGGAACUGAGACACGGUCCAGACUCCUACGGGAGGCAGCAGUGGGGAAUAUUGGACAAUGGGCGGAAGCUUGAUCCAGCCAUGCCGCGUGUGUGAAGAAGGUCUUCGGAUUGUAAAGCACUUUAAGUUGGGAGGAAGGGCAGUAAGUUAAUACCUUGCUGUUUUGACGUUACCAACAGAAUAAGCACCGGCUAACUUCGUG